GGGAAAGCCUAGCCAGGGCUCAGGCAGCACCAGGGCUGGACAGCAUGGGGAGGCAUUGCAGGAAGGCUGGCCCAGCAGGGCCCGCUGGGAACUGUGGCAGGCAGAGAAG